GGGGAAUUUUCCGCAAUGGGCGAAAGCCUGACGGAGCAAUACCGCGUGAGGGAGGAAGGCUCUUGGGUCGUAAACCUCUUUUCUCAGGGAAGAACACAAUGACGGUACCUGAGGAAUAAGCAUCGGCUAACUCCGUGCCAGCAGCCGCGGUAAUACGGAGGAUGCAAGCGUUAUCCGGAAUGAUUGGGCGUAAAGCGUCCGCAGGUGGCAAUGUAAGUCUGCUGUUAAAGAGUGAGGCUCAACCUCAUAAGAGCAGUGGAAACUACAUAGCUAGAGUACGUUCGGGGCAGAGGGAAUUCCUGGUGUAGCGGUGAAAUGCGUAGAGAUCAGGAAGAACACCAGUGGCGAAGGCGCUCUGCUAGGCCGUAACUGACACUGAGGGACGAAAGCUAGGGGAGCGAAUGGGAUUAGAUACCCCAGUAGUC
rnacentral:rRNA from 1 species